rnacentral:rRNA from 1 species
AUAAUAAAGAGUCGUGCCUGCCCAGUGAAUUUUUUUGACGGCGGCAGUACCCUGACUGUGCUAAGGUAGCAUAAUCACUUGUUUUUUAAUUGAAAGCUUGUAUGAAUGGCUUGACGCAGGUAAAGCUGUCUCUUUUAUACUAAAUAAAAAUUAAUCUUUAAGUGCAGAAGCUUAAAUACCCCCAAAAGACGAAAAGACCCUAUCGAGCUUGAAAAUUAUAAUUAAAUUAAAUUUAUAGUAAAAUAAUUUUUAAUUAAUUUUUUUUGUUGGGGCGACAAAAGAACAAACAAAGCUUCUUUUUAUUUUAUAAAUCUCUAAAUUUAUAGAUCCAUAAUUUAUGACUAAAAGAAAAAGCUACCGUAGGGAUAACAGCGUUAUUUUUUCAAAGAGUUCUUAUCGAAGAAAAAGUUUGCGACCUCGAUGUUGGAUUAAAGUAACUUUUAAGUGCAGAAGCUUAGAGAGUGGGUGGGUUCGACCCUUAAACCUUU